UACAGAGGGGGCAAGCGUUGUUCGGAAUUACUGGGCGUAAAGGGCGCGUAGGCGGCCUGUUAAGUCGAACGUGAAAUCCCCGGGCUCAACCCGGGAACUGCGUCCGAUACUGGCAGGCUUGAAUCUGGGAGAGGGAUGCGGAAUUCCAGGUGUAGCGGUGAAAUGCGUAGAUAUCUGGAGGAACACCGGUGGCGAAGGCGGCUCUCUAGUACGGUACUGACGCUGAGACGCGAAAGCGUGGGGAGCGAACAGG
rnacentral:rRNA from 1 species